CAUCAUUGUAGCAUUUAACUUUCUGCUGCCCUGGACUAGCCCACCCUCUCCCCUGCCAACAAGAACGGCCCAUUGGCCCACUCCAAUUGGCACCUGAACAGGGACCAGAGUAAGGAGAAAAGGGUAAGUAUGACUGUAAUAUAUAGGUAAAUAAGAGAAGUCCGUCCGGAGGGAUUGUGAAGAAAAAG
rnacentral:lncRNA from 14 species